rnacentral:lncRNA from 1 species
GGGAUUUCAAAUGGCAUCAAGGUGGGCCCAUAACCCACAGGUUGAUGAUCCAGACAAUCAAAGAUACGUUACGUGUUUGUGCUAUGGAUUUCAAAGGCAACUGGGAUAAAGUUGAAGAAUGUAAACUACAUGGGCCAGAGUUAUUACGGACGAUAACGUCUACGAUGACAUCUUACGAGGCUAUUACGAGUCAAAUCGAUUGAUUAUCGAGAACGUUGAAAGGAUGACAUAAAUCGAAUAACGAUUUCGUAAAGUAGAGUGGGAAUUUGAGAAGACCUUGGCAAUACCUCUCUUCAACUAAAGAUUCUUUUGAUUGUUUUCUCAUCAGUGAGAUAUUAUCAUGAUAUCUUUUCUACAAAAGUUUUGAUAAAUG